GGCAGGUYGUGCRUGGRAGYCYCRGAGGCCGGGGAARGAGGCUCCUUUGGGUCAGCGUGGGGCUGYUGGGGAGCYRUGGGGCAGCAAUCAGCACCAGSAGGGYGUUUGACCAGCCGGGACAGAGCAGACCCUUGCGGGGGAAGCCCUCCAGGCCCCAGCGAGGCGCUCAGSGGUUGUGGCCUUUGCUCUSCCCCUCCAGCCUGYGUGCUGUGUYGCCGGGCCGAUUCGGACCCAGAKAGGUAUGGGGAGAAAYGGCGGAAGGAUGGUCUCURUGCCCAUGAGACUUGCCUGGUGAGUCUCCCUGGGGCUGCCUSCAGCUUCCCYCUGGUGCCCCAGCCCAGCAGCCUGCAAUCUCCAUGCCCAGCUGGGCAGGACAGCACCUGGGAAUGCGCCUGGUCUUUGGCUGCGGGGAAUCCCAUCCCAAGAGCUCAGUGGGUGUCRACUCCUCCUCGACACCUCCUGCCCCGCCUGCGUCCCUUUGCUGCGCUCUGCUCGGGCUCUUCUCGUCCGCCCCAGCACGGCGUGUGCUCAGCUCAGCAAGGUCCAGCAGGCCAGCGCUGCCUGCAGCAGUGUCCCCCAGCCCCUCGCCCAGGCACUCUCCGCCACUGCCUUCCCUGCCCACAGCACAGUCCACGCUCCCACCUCGCCAGGCCUUUGCACUGCUUGUUGUGGACCAGCUUGAAGGCCCAGGAGCAUUGCAGCUCACCCAGCCUCAGGCAGCGCAGCAUGGCCUGCCCCAACCCUCUCGCCAGUGUCUCAGCAUCAGCCACCAGCAAUGAGCCAUGCCUCCAUGACUUGAUGAGGUCUGGGACCUUUGUGUGUUUCAGUAUCUUGCCAGCGGGCUCCCUGUGAGACACACCAGUGAGACAGGAACCGACAAGUUCCUUCCGGCGGAUAUCAGGCGUGCAGUGAAGCAGGCAACUCGGAAGAUGAAGAGCUAGCAGGGGCGUGGGGAGGUUUGUGGUGGCAUGGGUUUGUGCGGGCUCAGCCUGGCCCAUGGGAAGGCAAUCCUGGGGUUUUCCGUCAGUCCCAGGAGCUCCAGAGAGGAUCCAGGAGAAGCCGGAAGUCCAGUCCCUGAGGCGGCUCUGCAGGACGCGACUGCGCAGCGUCCCCAUCCCUGCAGCCUUGGCAAAGGUGUGGGCAGGCCUUGGGGGGCCCCGAGCAUGUCUCUGAUGAGGGGCUGCUGUGCUCUUUCCAGCUCUGCUACGUCUGUGGUGAGCACGGGGCCAUCACUAGCUGCCGGCAGAAGGGCUGCAAGCGCAGCUUCCACUUCCCGUGCGGCUGCAAAGAUGGCUGCGUCUCGCAGUUCUUUGGGCAGUACAGGUCCUUCUGCCGGGAACAUCUCCCGGAGCAAAGAGUGCAGGCACAGCUGGAUGGGGAGACCUUCUGCCUCAUUUGUCUGGAGCCCGUGGAGGAAAAGCUCUCCCACCACACUCUGGUGUGCCCUGCGUGUACGCACGCAUGGUUCCACCAGGGCUGCAUCCAGCAAUAGGCUCUCGGGGCAGGCUUCUUCUGCUUCCAGUGCCCGCAGUGUAAAGACAGGGAGACAUUCCUGUGGGAAAUGUCUUCCCUGGGCAUCCGAGUGCCCCUCAGACAACCCACGUGGGAGGCAGAGGGUGCCUUUGCCAAGCUGUAUGAGAGGCACCGUUGAUGUGAUGCCAGCCGGUGUCUUUGUGCGCAUGGCCGAGAAGAGGCAGCAGAAGAGGGGCCAUGGCAGCUGCUGCUUUGCUCCUCCUGUGCUGCCAAAGGCACGCACCACCGCUGCUCCGCCUUGAGGCCCACCACAGCCACAUGGGAGUGUGUUGACUGUGCGGGCCUGGGCACUG
ensembl:lncRNA